CAACCCUCAAAUAAAGGCUUUGAAGUAACUCACCGGAGUCUCAAGCCGGAUUUGAUGUUGGGCCUUGCCGGUGGCAUGCCUAAAACUUAGUGACGGUACCUAUCAACCUCAGGCGUACAGACUCGCUGAUGGGGCUUCGAUGGGGGCUUGUCUAACUAAAUUUCUAAA
rnacentral:misc_RNA from 1 species